ensembl:lncRNA novel transcript
AGUGCAGCUUCUUCUGGCUUGUGUGACUGAGGCCAGAACAAAAGCCCUAACUGUUUUCCACUGAGAAAGCAGGAUAAACAGGGGGUGCAGUCUUUAAAACUGCUCUCAGAGAAGCUUCCAGUGGAACCAAAGGAAUACAGAUGGAGGGCCUGGGGAGAGAUGGCCUGAGGGGACCUGCAGAAGGGAUUUACCUGCUGCCCCUCCCCCAGGGGAGCCAGGAGACUGAGCUGGGCUGUAAACACUCCGUGCCUGGUGCAGCCUGGUCUGCACAGGCUGAGAGGAUGCUCUACUUCUAAACCCCAUAAGGAAAAGGCCCAGGAGGGACGGGUGAGCUUGCUCGUGCGGAAUGGAAGGCCUUGGUGACCUCAGUCCCCAAUUCCUGUGUCGCUCACCAGCACUGACUUUAUUGUCUUCUCGGGGGCUCUGAUCACCCGAGCUAUGUUGGCCUGGGCCUGGAAAACUCCCUCAUCUCUCUUGUGGGGAGUUCAGCUGAGAUGAGGGAUGUUGCUGCUGAUAGCUAAAAAUGAUCAAAUUCUUACCAUAUGCCAGACCUUAUGCUGGACAAUUCACUGACAUUAUCCCACGUAGUAGGCAGAAUUCUAACGUGACCCCCAAGAUUCUCCACCUUCUGUGUAAUCCCCAGGAUUGUGAAUGUGAUGGAUUUCAUUCUGGUAAACAGGUUUUGUUAUAUGGCACAGAUGACUUUAAGACAGGGAGGCUUUAAAUCUGUGACUAGCAGAAGACAUAUGGAAGGCAGAGAUUCAAAAUAUAAGAGGGAUCUGACGCACCACUACUGGCUUGAAAAUGGAGGGGACCACAUGGCAGAGGACGCACGCAGCCUCUAGUUGCUGAGGGUGGUCUCCAGUUGACAGCGGCAAGGUAACAGGGGCCUCAGUCCUACAACCACAAGGAACUGAACUCUGCCAACAUACUGAAAGAGCUUGAAGGAGGAGCAUAAGCCUCAGGGGUGAGAUCAUAGACCCAGACAAAGCCUUGAUUUUAGUUGCCUAAAACCCCGAACUGAGAACCCAGGCAUCUUGAGUGGGACUCCUAACCCACAGAAACUGUGAGAUUAAUAAUUAGUGGCGUUUUAAAAGGGUUAACUUAUGAUAUUUUUAAAAUUAGCAACACAGAAAAUCAUACACCCCAUGUGAUACCCAUCAUAACCCUCUCAAGUAGGCUUCACCAUUUUAUAGACAAGGAAACAAAGACCCAGGGAAAUUAGGAAUUUGCCCAAAGUCACAUAGCCUGUGAGUGGCAGAGACAGGUUUAAACCCAGCUAUGUCUUGACUUUAUGGUCAGUGCUCUUCAUUGCCUCAUGCAUUUCCUCUCUGUAUGAGAAGAGAGCCUCAGACACAUGGUGAAAAGAGUAUGGAACUGUUUCUGUCUGCCUGGGUGUGGAUGUGCAGAAGGGUCAGAGGACCUAUGCUUUUGUUUUGGUUUUAAAUGGUGAAAAGACAUAUACAUAGAAUCAACUAGCUGGAUUCAGUUUAGAUGAUCCCAAUAUGCCUUCUUCUCUCCAUCAGGCCUGAUCAGGGUGUUGGCUUUGGCCACAGCAGUGUCACUGAGCUUCUUCACAGCCUGUUUGAUCUGGUGCUUGUUGGCUUUGACAUCCACAAUGGACACAAGUUGUGUUGUUGUCUUCUAUCUUCUUCAUGGCUGACUCAGUGGUUGGGGGAACCUGAUGAUGAAUUAUUGGUCAAGCUUGUUUCUCCUGGGAGUGCUCUUCCAAGCAUAUUUCUGCUGCCUGCAGAGCCACACUGUCUUGGGCCACUGGCAGGUGGGUGAUGUGUGGAUUGGAUCUUCUUUUUGUGGCUGUGGACACCUUUAAGCACUGCCUUCCUGGCCUUCAAAGCAUUCGCUUUGGCUUCAGCUUUGGGAGGGGCAAGAACUUUUUUCACUUUUGGUGCCAUAAUGUGAAAAUGAGGACCUAUGUUGAGCCCUCACUCCUCUAGAAGCCAGCUGUGUGCCCUCGGCAAAGUCAAUUAAUCACUCUGAGCCUCAGUUUUUAUAAUCUGUAUGAGGCCUACUAAGAAUUUCUGCAUUAUAACCCUUGAAGGGCUGCAGCUGAUGAUCCCAUAAAAGUGUGUGAGGGGCCACUGUGAAUGAAGUCCACAGGGCAGACAGAGGCACCUGGAUGUCAUGUAGAUAUCAUUUUCUUUUCUUGAUGACUGCCAAUUUCAAUGUCCUCUGCCUAUAGGCUGGAUAUGGUCACUCUGAUGGCUUAUUUGGAGGAAGUAAUUUUAAAUAGGUUUUUUUUUUAGAGGAAAUGAUUAUUUAUUACAUUUAUUGAAAAACUACAGAAUAAGAUGGAAGGUAAUUUUUCUUUUUUUCUUGAAUUCUUUAAAAGUUAGUUGACUAUUAAAAGCCAAAGUAAUAACAAUGUAUUGUGGAAUUCAUAAAAUACGAAGACUGAAAGUGUGUGAAUAUGACAGCACAAAGAUAAAUAGAAGGUACACAGAUAAUUACACUGUUUAUACAGGAAGCAUUAUAAUAUUAAUUCACGGUAGGCUGUGAUAAGUUAACGGUGUAUUUUUAGUGUAUAAAUGACUAAAAUAUACAAAGAAAUAUAGCUAACACACCAACAGAAGAGAAAAUGGUAAACUAAAAAAUACUUUAAUAAACUGAAAGAAUACAGGAAGAAAAGGACAAAGGAAUAAAAAAAAAAAACCCAAACCAAAAAUAUGAAUAGAAAGACUGUAGGGCUUAAACCCAGUAAGCUUAUUAUUUAUAUUAAAUGUAUAAAUAAAUGAAAUACUCCAAUUAAGGCCAGGUGUGGUGGCUCAUGCCUGUAAGCCCAGCACUUUGGGAGGCCAAGGCAGGUGGAUCACUUGAGGUCAGGAGUUUGAGACCAGCCUGGCCAAUAUGGCAAAACCCCAUCUCUACUAAAAAUAUAAAAAAUAGCCAGGUGUGGUGGUGUGCGCCUAUAGUCCCAGCUAUUUGGGAGGCUGAGGCAGGAGAAUCACUUGAACCCGGGAGGCAGAGGUUGCAGUGAGCCGAGAUCACGCCAC